UAGAGUUUGAUCAUGGCUCAGAUUGAACGCUGGCGGCAGGCCUAACACAUGCAAGUCGAGCGGCAGCACGGGUACUUGUACCUGGUGGCGAGCGGCGGACGGGUGAGUAAUGCCUAGGAAUCUGCCUGGUAGUGGGGGAUAACGCUCGGAAACGGACGCUAAUACCGCAUACGUCCUACGGGAGAAAGCAGGGGACCUUCGGGCCUUGCGCUAUCAGAUGAGCCUAGGUCGGAUUAGCUAGUUGGUGAGGUAAUGGCUCACCAAGGCGACGAUCCGUAACUGGUCUGAGAGGAUGAUCAGUCACACUGGAACUGAGACACGGUCCAGACUCCUACGGGAGGCAGCAGUGGGGAAUAUUGGACAAUGGGCGAAAGCCUGAUCCAGCCAUGCCGCGUGUGUGAAGAAGGUCUUCGGAUUGUAAAGCACUUUAAGUUGGGAGGAAGGGCAUUAACCUAAUACGUUAGUGUUUUGACGUUACCGACAGAAUAAGCACCGGCUAACUCUGUGCCAGCAGCCGCGGUAAUACAGAGGGUGCAAGCGUUAAUCGGAAUUACUGGGCGUAAAGCGCGCGUAGGUGGUUCGUUAAGUUGGAUGUGAAAUCCCCGGGCUCAACCUGGGAACUGCAUUCAAAACUGUCGAGCUAGAGUAUGGUAGAGGGUGGUGGAAUUUACUGUGUAGCGGUGAAAUGCGUAGAUAUAGGAAGGAACACCAGUGGCGAAGGCGACCACCUGGACUGAUACUGACACUGAGGUGCGAAAGCGUGGGGAGCAAGCAGGAUUAGAUACCCUGGUAGUCCACGCCGUAAACGAUGUCAACUAGCCGUUGGGAGCCUUGAGCUCUUAGUGGCGCAGCUAACGCAUUAAGUUGACCGCCUGGGGAGUACGGCCGCAAGGUUAAAACUCAAAUGAAUUGACGGGGGCCCGCACAAGCGGUGGAGCAUGUGGUUUAAUUCGAAGCAACGCGAAGAACCUUACCAGGCCUUGACAUCCAAUGAACUUUCCAGAGAUGGAUUGGUGCCUUCGGGAACAUUGAGACAGGUGCUGCAUGGCUGUCGUCAGCUCGUGUCGUGAGAUGUUGGGUUAAGUCCCGUAACGAGCGCAACCCUUGUCCUUAGUUACCAGCACGUUAUGGUGGGCACUCUAAGGAGACUGCCGGUGACAAACCGGAGGAAGGUGGGGAUGACGUCAAGUCAUCAUGGCCCUUACGGCCUGGGCUACACACGUGCUACAAUGGUCGGUACAGAGGGUUGCCAAGCCGCGAGGUGGAGCUAAUCCCACAAAACCGAUCGUAGUCCGGAUCGCAGUCUGCAACUCGACUGCGUGAAGUCGGAAUCGCUAGUAAUCGCGAAUCAGAAUGUCGCGGUGAAUACGUUCCCGGGCCUUGUACACACCGCCCGUCACACCAUGGGAGUGGGUUGCACCAGAAGUAGCUAGUCUAACCUUCGGGGGGACGGUUACCACGGUGUGAUUCAUGACUGGGGUGAAGUCGUAACAAGGUAACCG
rnacentral:rRNA from 1 species